rnacentral:rRNA from 1 species
UACAGAGGUCCCAAGCGUUGUUCGGAUUCACUGGGCGUAAAGGGUGCGUAGGCGGUAGGGUAAGUUUGAGGUGAAAUCUCCGGGCUUAACCCGGAAAUUGCCUUGAAGACUAUCUUGCUAGAGGAUCGGAGGGGAGACUGGAAUUCUCGGUGUAGCAGUGAAAUGCGUAGAUAUCGAGAGGAACACCAGUGGCGAAGGCGAGUCUCUGGACGAUUCCUGACGCUGAGGCACGAAAGCCAGGGGAGCAAACGGG